rnacentral:rRNA from 1 species
CACGUAGGCACCAAGCGUUGUCCGGAUUUAUUGGGCGUAAAGAGCUCGUAGGCGGUUUGUCGCGUCGGGAGUGAAAACUCAGGGCUUAACCCUGAGCCUGCUUCCGAUACGGGCAGACUAGAGGUAUGCAGGGGAGAAUGGAAUUCCUGGUGUAGCGGUGAAAUGCGCAGAUAUCAGGAGGAACACCGGUGGCGAAGGCGGUUCUCUGGGCAUUACCUGACGCUGAGGAGCGAAAGCUAGGGGAGCAAACGGG